rnacentral:rRNA from 1 species
CAUAUCAAUAAGCGGAGGAAAAGAAACUAACGAGGAUUCCCCUAGUAACUGCGAGUGAAGCGGGAAAAGCUCAAAUUUCGAAUCUGGCGGUCCCUGGCCCGUCCGAGUUGUAAUCUAGAGAAGCGUCUUCCGCGCUGGACCGUGUACAAGUCUCCUGGAAGGGAGCAUCGUAGAGGGUGACAAUCCCGUCUCUGACACGGACUCCCAGGGCUAUGUGAUGCGCUCUCGACGAGUCGAGUUGUUUGGGAAUGCAGCUCUAAUUGGGUGGUAAACUCCAUCUAAAGCUAAAUACAGGCGAGAGACCGAUAGCGAACAAGUACCGUGAGGGAAAGAUGAAAAGAACUUUGGAAAGAGAGUUAAACAGUACGUGAAAUUGCUGGAAGGGAAACGCUUCAAGUCAGUCGCGUCGGCCGGGGAUCAACCUUGCUUCUUGCUGGGUGCAUUUCCUGGUCGACGGGUCAGCAUCGAUUUCGGUCGUCGUACAAGGGUGGAAGCGAACGUGGCACUCCUCGGAGUGUGUUAUAGCCUCUCACACGCAUGCGACGACUGGGAUCGAGGAACUCAGCACGACCCCUCGGGGUUCGGGGCUUCGGCUCACGUCCCGUGCUUAGGAUGCUGGCAUAAUGGCUUCAAGCGAC